UACGUAGGGUGCGAGCGUUAAUCGGAAUUACUGGGCGUAAAGCGUGCGCAGGCGGUAAGUCAAGUCUGAUGUGAAAGCCCCGGGCUCAACCUGGGAAUGGCAUUGGAAACUGGCUUGCUAGAGUGUGGCAGAGGGGGGUGGAAUUCCGCGUGUGAGCAGUGAAAUGCGUAGAGAGUGCGGAGGAACACCGAUGGCGAAGGCAGCCCCCUGGG
rnacentral:rRNA from 1 species